UGGGUAACUGUAGCUUGUUGUCUCAGCACC
rnacentral:piRNA from 1 species